rnacentral:rRNA from 1 species
AUUGAACGCUGGCGGCAGGCUUAACACAUGCAAGUCGAGCGGGGUGAUGGUGCUUGCACUAUCACUUAGCGGCGGACGGGUGAGUAAUGCUUAGGAAUCUGCCUAUUAGUGGGGGACAACAUCUCGAAAGGGAUGCUAAUACCGCAUACGUCCUACGGGAGAAAGCAGGGGAUCACUUGUGACCUUGCGCUAAUAGAUGAGCCUAAGUCGGAUUAGCUAGUUGGUGGGGUAAAGGCCUACCAAGGCGACGAUCUGUAGCGGGUCUGAGAGGAGGAUCUGCCGCCCUGGGACUGAGACACGGCCCAGACUCCUACGGGAGGCAGCAGUGGGGAAUAUUGGACAAUGGGGGGAACCCUGAUCCAGCCAUGCCGCGUGUGUGAAGAAGGCCUUAUGGUUGUAAAGCACUUUAAGCGAGGAGGAGGCUCUUUUGGUUAAUACCCAAGAUGAGUGGACGUUACUCGCAGAAUAAGCACCGGCUAACUCUGUGCCAGCCGCCGCCGUAA